AUGAACGCUGGCGGCGUGCCUAAUACAUGCAAGUCGAGCGAACGGACGAGAAGUUUGCUUCUCUGAUGUUAGCGGCGGACGGGUGAGUAACACGUGGAUAACCUACCUAUAAGACUGGGUUAACUUCGGGAAACCGGAGCUAAUACCGGAUAAUAUUUUGAACCGCAUGGUUCAAAAGUGAAAGACGGUCUUGCUGUCACUUAUAGAUGGAUCCGCGCUGCAUUAGCUAGUUGGUAAGGUAACGGCUUACCAAGGCAACGAUGCAUAGCCGACCUGAUAGGGUGAUCGGCCACACUGGAACUGAGACACGGUCCAGACUCCUACGGGAGGCAGCAGUAGGGAAUCUUCCGCAAUGGGCGAAAGCCUGACGGAGCAACGCCGCGUGAGUGAUGAAGGUCUUCGGAUCGUAAAACUCUGUUAUUAGGGAAGAACAUAUGUGUAAGUAACUGUGCACAUAUUGACGGUACCUAAUCAGAAAGCCACGGCUAACUACGUG
rnacentral:rRNA from 1 species